UACAGGGGGUGCAAACGUUGCUCGGAAUCAUUGGGCGUAAAGCGCACGUAGGCGGUUCGUUAUGUCGGAUGUGAAAGCCCUUGGCUUAACCGAGGAAGUGCAUCCGAAACUGGCGAGCUAGAGUACGAAAGAGGAUCGCGGAAUUCCCGGUGUAGAGGUGAAAUUCGUAGAUAUCGGGAGGAACACCGGUGGCGAAGGCGGCGAUCUGGUCCUAUACUGACACUCAUACACGAAAGCGUGGGGAUCAAACAGG
rnacentral:rRNA from 1 species